CAGGAAAGUUUAAACAAAACUUUUUAUUUUUUUUUUAAAAAAGAAAGACGCAAAGGAAUGGCCACCGCGAUCGCUUCUGUCUCUCUGGCUCUCCACCCAAAGCCCGAAGCCUUCCCCUUCUCUUCACUUCCUCCUACUCCUACUCCUUCUCCUUCUCCUUCUUCCAGGGGUAGCGGUAGCAGCAACUAUAGAUACAGGAGAAAUCUCUUCUUUUCUCCUUCUAAAUCGAAGCAUUCCAUCUCCAUCUCUCGCUUAGCUUCGAAUCCACCUCCGUCGACACCGGAGAAGCCGCCUCAGAUCGAGCUCGAAUUCGUCGGGCCGAAAGUGGGAGUGGAUGGGUCAUAUCCGGUGGACAGGGCGUCGGCGAUCAGUGGAGAGAAGCUUCUUCGCGACAUUAUGCUCGACAACCAGAUCGAGCUCUACGCCGCAUACGGGAAGGUAAUGAACUGUGGAGGAGGCGGAAGCUGUGGAACAUGCAUUGUGGAGAUUAUUGAUGGCAUGGAACUUCUGAAUGAGAAAACGAACACUGAAAAACGGUACUUGAAGAAGAAACCCGAAUCUUGGAGGCUCGCUUGUCAAACUAUUGUAGGAAAUAAGGAAAAUGCUGGGAAGGUUACCGUUCAGCGGAUGCCCCAGUGGAAGAAGUGAUCUGCAAUUCGUUUCAAAUUUCGUAAGUAGGGGAAGACCAAUCGACUCUCUUAACCUCUCAUACAUAUCUUGAGGGUGGGAUCUAUCUUCAGCAUUAAAUGGAUGCACUUGGUUCUUGUUCUUGAUCCAACUCCAACCAGAUCGAGGGAGUGCAAUUGGCGGCCUAAUUAGAGUUGGCCAGUGGAGGCAGCUGACUGAGGUUGCUCCCGAGGGUGUACUAAUUGAAGGCGAUGAGACGUUGGCGGCGAUCAGCGCGUUCCAGGAGACUAUGUCUCGUUUCGGAUUUUGUCGAACAGCUUGCGGGCGUCUGAGAGGCUGCUGCAUCAGAAGCGAGGACGUUUGUUCCAAGAUUACAUGUCUGCGGUGGCUCCGAAUUUUAUCAAGCGAGUGUGUGUUUUCGCUACCGAGCAUAGAGCUAGAGUUUAGAAUGGUCUGGUCCAAAGUAUUGUAGACCCCCAUUCUAAGAGAGGUUACUCUUGAUGGUCUGUAAACCCAUGAUAACCGGAUCGACGCCUUUUGCCUUUGCUAA